rnacentral:lncRNA from 1 species
UUUUUAAAAAUGAAAGAGUUACGAUCCUUCCAUAUGCACCAUAAAAUAGUGGCAACCAGUUCAAAAUUAGGUGAGCUUCUUUGUUCAGCCAAAUACUCGCUUAACCAUUCAUCAAAUCUUGUCAGACCCACUCGUUCUAUUCGGGCUUGCAGUGUGGGCUCAUUCCAGAUUCUUGUUGUCCAGGGGCAGAGCAGCAAGGUGUGCUCAAUCGUCUCCGGUUCCUGCUUACAUAUUGGGCAUAAGGGAUCAGGUACAAUCUUCCUCUUAUAUAGAUUAUCCAUAGUAUGAAGUGCAUUUUGGCAGGCACUCCAUAGGAAGAAUUUGACUUUCGGUUGUAUGACGGAGUUCCAAAUACGUUUCCAUAAUUCUGGCUUGAAUUGGUGCGAUGUAGUUGGUGUUGACUCCCGAUGAUUAGUUGGUUUUCUGUUUGAGAAGUAGGCACUCUUUACCGUAUAGUUUCCUGACUUAUUUUUUGUCCAAACCAGUUUGUCUUCUGUUGUUGGGAGGCCUAGAGGUAUUGCUUUGAUUGCCGUCACUAGUUGUUCUUCGAAUAAAGAUCGCAGUAGGUCUUCCUUCCACUGUCCAGCUUCAACAUCAAUCAAGUCAGCAACUUUACUUGGUUCAAAAGGGCUAACAAAUCCUCCAAUAGUUCCUAUUUUGAGCCACCUAUCCUCUCUAAUUGAGAUAUUUUGCCCAUUUCCCACUGCCCACAUGACUUGAGGAGCAAUUGCAUCUCUCCCUGUUAAUAAGCUUUGCCAGCCCCACGAUGGACGGGAGCCUUUUGCUGCACGCCAAAAAUCACAAUUGGGAAAGUAUAGACCUUUCAUGAUUUGAGUCCAAAGUGAGUUCUGACUUUGAGAAAUCCUCCAAGCUUGUUUCCCUAGCAUGGCAGAGUUAAAGGCCAUUAAGUCCUUAAAUCCAAGCCCGCCUUCCUCCUUGCGAAGUUUUAGGAUAUCCCAUUUUCUCCAGUGCAAACCAGUUGUCUUGUUAGUAUUCCGCCACCAGAAGUUAGCAAUGUUUUUCUCAAUGGCUUUGAUAAUGGAAAUCGGGAUUUUAAAGAUUGACAUUGCAUAUUGAGGGAUUGCCUGAACUACUGAUUUUAGAAGAAUCUCCUUUCCAGCUCUUGAUAGGAGGUUUUCUUUCCAGCUUUCCAAUUUCGAGUUUACCCUGGCCAGUAUCCAUGCAAACAUAUCUUUUUUCGAGGCCCCCCAGUCUGACGGGAUGCCUAAGUAUUUCCCAGUUUUUGCAAUUUCAGGUACCCUCAGCAUUGUAACCAUAUUUCUUCUAAGGCUGUCUGGGCACCCUUUACUGAAAAAAAAAUCCCAGAUUUGUUUAGAUUUAUGGCCUGUCCAGAUGCAUAGCAAUAUUGGUGGAGAAUAGAUGCCAAAUUUUGGCAUUCCAGUAUCGUUCCAUCUAGGAAGAAAAUGGAAUCGUCUGCAAAUAGUAGGUGGGAAAGGGUUGGACAGUUUCGGUUCAGUUUAAUGCCAUGGAUUGUCUCCUUUAAGAGAGCUGUCUUCAUCAUAUGUGAAAGGACAUUCGCUACAAUAAUGAACAGAUAUGGGGAUAGAGGAUCGCCUUCGCGUAUACCCCGAGAUGGCAUGAAGAAAGGUAAAGAUUCACCAUUAAAUCUGAUGCUGUAGGACACUGUAGAAACGCACUGCAUAACCCACUUUACCCAAUUAGCGCUAAAGUCCAUUUUACAUAAGCACUCCUGUAGGAAAUCCCACUCGAUUCUAUCAUAAGCUUUCUUCAUGUCGAGUUUUAGGAUGGCUUGGAAAUGCUUCCUCUUAUCUCUCGUUCUUAGUUUGUGGAUAACUUCUUGAACAAUCAAAAUAUUGUCUUGGAUUUGUCGACUCCCUACGAAAGCAGUUUGCUCUUUAACAAUGAUGUCCGGUAGAAAAGGUUUCAGUCUGUUGGCGAGGAUUUUAGAGAUGAUUUUGUAUAUGAAGUUACAAAGGCUUAUGGGCCGGAACUGAUCUAAUCUUUCAGGAUUUUUGAUUUUGGGGAUAAGAAUAAUCUGGGUUCUAUUCAUGGCUGGGUUGAUAGUUCCCAUUUCAAAGAAAAGCUGCACUUCCCUAAGAAUGUCUUCGCCUAUGUCGUGCCAGUGCUGCUGAAAAAAGAGGCCAUUCAGACCAUCUGGGCCGGGAGCUUUGGUGGCACCCAAUUGGUGAGUUGCAGCAUAAACUUCUUCCAUAGUAACGUCUUUAGUAAGCUGAAGAUUCAUUACUGCAUCCACUGAUGUUGGAAUGUGAUUUAAAAUAGGCUGAAAAUUCCGAGGACCUGUUGAAGUAUACAAGUUGCUGAAGAAUUCCAUCGUCAUGUGUUUGAGGGUCUGAUUGUCCCUCACCCAGUCUCCUUCUUCAGUCAUCAGCAUGGUAAUACAGUUUCUAUUUCUCCUUUGUAUAGUUGUGGCAUGAAAGAAUUUUGUAUUUCUGUCUCCCCAUUUGAGCCACUUAAUUCUAGAUCUUAUUCCCCAGAACAUUUCUUCUUGUCGCCAGAGAUCUUCGAUUUCUUUAUGGAUAGUCUGAAUUCUGCUCUGAUCAAACUUCAAUGUAGGGCUGUUCAUCCGAUAUUGGAGCUCAUUUUUCAGGCCUUCGAUUUUUUUAUAUGCGUUGGGGAAUCGGUUUUUACUCCAGGCCUCUAAUCGAGUAGCCACAUUGGUAAGUUUCUCUACCAUAUUUUUCCGGUGGGAGUCCUCCCAUGUUCGUUUGACAAUACGCUUACAGUCCUCAUCUUCUGCCCAAAAUGGCUCAUAUCUAAACUCUCUUUUUCUGCGUGCCAGAGUGGGGGAAGUUGACAAAAUGAGAGGACUAUGAUCUGAACCAAUAGCUGGUAGGGCGGUAACAUCGGCAUUUGAGUAAGAUAUUCUCCAAUCUAUGGUACAAAUUGCUCUGUCCAGCCUUUCUCUAACAUUUGCAGUACCCUCUCUUCUGUUCGUCCAGGUAAAGGCGCACCCUUUGCUUUCUAGGUCCAUCAAAGAACAAGCAUAUAGGAAGUCCCUGAAAGCGAUAAGUCGAAAAUGAUCUGCCAUCCUCUUUCCCACUUUUUCCCAAUGGUAUAAUAUUUCAUUAAAGUCCCCGAUGCAUAACCAAGGGAGGUGAUUGGAUGCACUAACCCUUUGUAUUUCGUCCCAAAGGAUAAUUCUGUCAUGGAAUGCAUUAGGAGCGUGGAGAAAGAUAAUUCGCAUAGAUUGUUUGCUGUCAUGUAGGAGGCAUUGCACAUUGAUGAUAUAUUCGGAGUGAGAGUCGAUUGAAAUAGAUACCCGGUCAUCCCAAAAAAGAGCCAAACCCCCCGAUAACCCAUCUGGAUUCACCAAAAAACUGUUAUUGACCUUAAGUCGUCUUCGUAGUCUUUGCACCUUCUGCUCUUGAUUCUUUGUUUCCAUAAGAAAAAUAAUGUUCGGUUUUUCUUGAGUCACAAGGACUCUAAGAGACUGAAUUGUCAGGGAGGAACCCAACCCCUGACAAUUCCAACUCAUUAGUUUCAUGGUUGCACCGGUGGCUUAUUAGGGCUAGCCACCAAAGCCCGUUGAUUUGAUGUAUCUUCUUCCAUGACAGGAAUGUCUAUCAGAUGAGAGUGAUCUGCACCAGUUGUCCUUGAGGAUUGAGCUCCAUAGGGGCAGAAUCUUUUACCUUUCUUAGAUGGAUGGAUCUUGGUAGACCUGGCUUUACCUUUAGCUGGAUCUUUUUCUACCUGUAAGCAUAGCUGCUGCUUUCUUUCAUUUUCUUUAAUCCGUUCUUUGUGCAAGGUCAGCAUGGAUUCCGAGUCCAAGCAGCUGCUAUCCUGCUUCUGUGAAUUUUUUCCAUCGAAAAUGGUGAUAGCUCGGGAAGAGCCAAGGUGAUCAGGUUGCUGUUGAGGUCGUAUCUCAGCAGGAAUAAUGGCUGGUUGAGGUGCAAGGGUGUCACUAGCCAGGGGAGAUUCCGGCACAAUUUCGUCAUCUUCAAUAACCUAUGGAUGCUGGCCAUAAUAUAUUUUUCCAUAGGGGCUUAGAUUCCGGACCUCAGCACAUAACCAGCUCCCGAAGUUGCCCGGUAAGUCUUCAUCCAUCCCUGUAGAUGCAUAAGGUAUCUCUUGACAAGCAGUGGCGUAAUGACCAAUUCUACCACAAGAGUAGCAAAAGUGAGGCAGUCGCUCGUAUUUGUAUUCGAUCCACAAUUUUUUGGUUCCCAAAUUAACUACAACCCCUGUUUUAAGAGGUUUAGCUAAAUUCAACUUGAUUUUUGCCUUCCCAAUCUUAUAGUGACUACUCCCUCUUGCUUCCAGUUUAAUCUCAAGGACUUCACCAACCUUGGAGGCAAGCUCACGAACUACCGCCUCCGUAACUCUGCCGAAGGGUAAUCCAAACAUAUGCACCCAAAAUGGACAGUAAGAGAAGUCGUAGCAAAUGUCAGGAAUGUCAGGAUCGCAUUGUUGGAGCACAAGGAGGUUACUGGAAAAGGACCAAGGACCAUUCUCUAGUACUUUCCUCUUCUCAGCUUCGGAUUUAAAGGAGAAUGAAAAGAAACCCGGUUCUAACACAGUACAGGAAACUUUCUCUGUUCUCCAAGCUAGUUUCAUAGUGCUGAGAAAUGCCUGGAAAUUAACGUUCGGGCGAGAAUAGAGCUUGCCAAAUAAGGUAAGCUUGCAUUCAAAAAGUUUUUCAGCAGAGAUUCCCUGAGUAACAUCAAUAAUAUCUUCCUCAGACCAUAAAUUUCCCAGGCUUUUACACAGCGCCUCUAACCUGUUCGCUUCUAUAAUUGGAUUAGCCAUGUUACCUACUGCAAUUAAUCUGAGGAAUAUAAACCAAAGGCCACCUUAUAAGAGAAAAGGCAGUCCAGACACUGAAGCAAGAGCAGGGGGAGCCUCCGGGGAACAACAAAAAGCAUUGAUUUGAACCUUGUAGAGUAGAUAGGGAAGGAUGAAGCUCGGGCACACCCAACCCGUCAAUAAGUGCACUGCUUAGUUGCAGGGGAAGCAGUCGAGGUAAAGAACGGUGAGAAAUUUUCACGAAGGGGAUGGUGGAUUGCUAGAGAUGGGUGUGGUCGGGAAUGCGAACAGCAAAGCGAGCGGUGGAAAUAGGGAAACUUGUGGCUGGAGGUAAGGGAUGUAAGAAAAGGAUGGAAAUUAGGGAUGGGAAAAGCUCGCAAGAACGAACUAACAAAUGUUAGGGUUUUUCAAAAUGAAGGAGACGACCAGGGAAAGAGAAAGGUGAGUCGGUGGGAAAUUGCUGCUACAUCGUGAGAAGGGGAGGUUAAGAAAGGUUUUACACUGGAGGAGACGUCCACAAAAAGGAACGGGUAAAACUACCUUCCGAUAGAGAGGAGCCCAGAUCGCCUGGGAGCUCUG